GGAGACUUACCCAAGUGGUUAAGGGGGCAUCCUGCUAAGAUGUUAGGUGGUUAAAAGCUGCGCGGGGGUUCGAAUCCCCCAGUUUCCG
rnacentral:tRNA from 1 species